rnacentral:rRNA from 1 species
CGCGGCCUAUCAGCUUGUUGGUGGGGUGAUGGCCUACCAAGGCGACGACGGGUAGCCGGCCUGAGAGGGCGACCGGCCACACUGGGACUGAGACACGGCCCAGACUCCUACGGGAGGCAGCAGUGGGGAAUAUUGCGCAAUGGGCGGAAGCCUGGCGCAGCGACGCCGCGUGGGGGAUGACGGCCUUCGGGUUGUAAACCUCUUUCGCCAGGGACGAAGCGCAAGUGACGGUACCUGGAUAAGAAGCACCGGCCAACUACGUGCCAGCAGCCGCGGUAAUACGUAGGGUGCGAGCGUUGUCCGGAAUUAUUGGGCGUAAAGAGCUCGUAGGCGGUCUGUCGCGUCGGUCGUGAAAACUUGGGGCUUAACCCUGAGCUUGCGGUCGAUACGGGCAUGACUGGAGUUCGGCAGGGGAGACUGGAAUUCCUGGUGUAGCGGUGAAAUGCGCAGAUAUCAGGAGGAACACCGGUGGCGAAGGCGGGUCUCUGGGCCGAUACUGGCGCUGAGGAGCGAAAGCGUGGGGAGCGAACAGGAUUAGAUACCCUGGUAGUCCACGCCGUAAACGGUGGGCGCUAGGUGUGGGGGCCAUUCCACGGUCUCUGUGCCGCAGCUAACGCAUUAAGCGCCCCGCCUGGGGAGUACGG